rnacentral:lncRNA from 1 species
AUGUUCCUCACCAAUUCCAGAGUGCAGCAGAUUUCUUCCUCCAUGGUUUCGAAAUUACAUCAGUGGAACAUAUUGUCGAACACAUCGCAUGCCACAUCCUUGCUUGCCGACACCACCAGUAAGAUCUCUUGCUUGGUUCCAAAUAAGCAACCUCCAGGGCAUAUUGUAGUAUGCAGGAGCAUAGCACAGCACGAUCAUAAUCACCAAUUCCAGAGUACAACAUAUUGCUUUCUUCGUGGUUUCGAAAAUGAACAGUUCAGCAUCUCCAAUUGGAGUUGGGGUUGA